GCCCACAGCCGUGCCACCCUGAACGCGCCUGAUCCCGUCUGAACUCGGAAGCUCAACAGGGCCGGGCCUGGUGAGUCCCUGAAUGGGAGACCGUCUAGGAAGACCGGGUGCUGUAGGGC
rnacentral:rRNA from 1 species